UACGUAGGGUGCAAGCGUUAAUCGGAAUUACUGGGCGUAAAGCGUGCGCAGGCGGUUUUGUAAGUCUGUUGUGAAAUCCCCGGGCUUAACCUGGGAAUGGCAUUUGGGACUGCAAAGCUUGAGUGUGGCAGAGGGGACUGGAAUUCCUGGUGUAGCAGUGAAAUGCGUAGAGAUCAGGAGGAAUACCGAUGGCGAAGGCAGGUCCCUGGGCUGACACUGACGCUCAUGCACGAAAGCGUGGGGAGCAAACAGG
rnacentral:rRNA from 1 species